GAUGAACGCUGGCGGCGUGCUUAACACAUGCAAGUCGAACGAAGCACUUUUACAGAUUUCUUCGGAAUGAAGUUUUAGUGACUGAGUGGCGGACGGGUGAGUAACGCGUGGGUAACCUGCCUCACACAGGGGGAUAACAGUUGGAAACGGCUGCUAAUACCGCAUAAGCGCACAGUACCGCAUGGUACAGUGUGAAAAACUCCGGUGGUGUGAGAUGGACCCGCGUCUGAUUAGCUAGUUGGCAGGGCAACGGCCUACCAAGGCGACGAUCAGUAGCCGACCUGAGAGGGUGACCGGCCACAUUGGGACUGAGACACGGCCCAAACUCCUACGGGAGCAGCAGUGGGGAAUAUUGCACAAUGGGGGAAACCCUGAUGCAGCGACGCCGCGUGAGCGAAGAAGUAUUUCGGUAUGUAAAAGCUCUAUCAGCAGGGAANAAGAAAUGACGGUACCUGACUAAGAAGCAACCGGCUAAAAUACGUGCCAGCAGCCG
rnacentral:rRNA from 1 species